AUGGCUGUCGUCAGCUCGUGUCGUGAGAUGUUGGGUUAAGUCCCGCAACGAGCGCAACCCUUACUUUUAGUUGCCAUCAUUUAGUUGGGCACUCUAAAAGAACUGCCAGUGAUAAGCUGGAGGAAGGUGGGGAUGACGUCAAGUCCUCAUGGCCCUUACGUGUUGGGCUACACACGUGCUACAAUGGUACUUACAGUGAGAAGCUAAGAUGCGAGUCUAAGCAAAUCUCUAAAAGGUACCUCAGUUCGGAUUGCACUCUGCAACUCGAGUGCAUGAAGCUGGAAUUACUAGUAAUCGUGGAUCAGCGUGCCACGGUGAAUACGUUCCCGGGUCUUGUACACACCGCCCGUCACACCAUGGAAGUUGGUUUCACCUUAAGGCGAAGUGUAAAAACUUUGACUACGGUACGAUCAGCGACUGGGGUGAAGUCGUAACAAGGUAGCCGUAGGGGAACCUGCGGCUGGAUCACCUCCUUUCUAAGGAAAUCGAAAAUAUUAAAACAAUUAUUUUCGAUUUAAAAAAAACCGGUAAUGUGACCGUCCUCAUUUCUCUUCUUUUAGUGUCUCUGUGUAAAAAUGUAAGGGGCCGGUAGCUCAGUUGGUUAGAGCGCACCCCUGAUAAGGGUGAGGUCGGAAGUUCGAAUCUUCCUCGGCCCACCAAUAUUGAGGGGGAUUAGCUCAGCUGGGAGAGCGCCUGAUUUGCAUUCAGGAGGUCAGCGGUUCGAUCCCGCUAUCCUCCACCAAAAAAUUGAGACAUUUAGCUUUUUUAAAUAGUAAAUAUUAUUAUCAAUAUCUAUAUCCGAUUGUUUUCAAUUUUUAUGAAAACAAUCAAAAACAAAAAUUUAAUUUAUUACAGAAAAGUUUUUUUCUGUGCAUAAAUCAAGCGUUUAAGGGCAAUUGGCGGAUGCCUUGGCACUGUAAGACGAUGAAGGACGUGGUAUACUGCGAUAAGUUUCGGGGAGCUGUAUGCAGGCUUUGAUCCGAAAAUUUCCGAAUGGGGAAACCCGG
rnacentral:sRNA from 1 species